UACAGAGGGUGCUAGCGUUAAUCGGAAUUACUGGGCGUAAAGGGUGUGUAGGUGGUUGGAUAAGUUAGAUGUGAAAUCCCUGGGCUUAACCUGGGAACUGCGUUUAAAACUGUUUAGCUAGAGUACUGUAGAGGAUAGUGGAAUUUCCAGUGUAGCGGUGAAAUGCGUAGAUAUUGGAAGGAACACCAGUGGCGAAGGCGACUAUCUGGACAGAUACUGACACUGAGACACGAAAGCAUGGGGAGCAAACAGGAUUAGAUACCCUGGUAGUCCAUGCUGUAAACGAUGAGAACUUGCUGUUGGAUGCAUAAAGGCAUUUAGUAGCGUAGCUAACGCGAUAAGUUCUCCGCCUGGGGAGUACGGCCGCAAGGCUAAA
rnacentral:rRNA from 1 species